rnacentral:rRNA from 1 species
CGUGAAGCCAACCUCAAGAUGAGAUUUCCCAUAGCGUAAGCUAGUAAGAUCCCUUGAAGAACACAAGGUUGAUAGGUCGGGGGUGUAAGCAUGGUAACAUGUUCAGCUGACCGAUACUAAUAGAUCGAGGGCUUGACCAAAUAU